GUGUCAGCAGCCGCGGUAAGACAGAGGGUGCAAACGUUGUUCGGAAUUACUGGGCGUAAAGCGCGUGUAGGCUGUUCUGCAAGUCGGGUGUGAAAGCCCCGGGCUCAACCUGGGAAGUGCACUCGAAACUGCAGAACUCGAGUCCUGGAGAGGAAGGCGGAAUUCUCGGUGUAGAGGUGAAAUUCGUAGAUAUCGAGAGGAACACCGGUGGCGAAGGCGGCCUUCUGGACAGUGACUGACGCUGAGACGCGAAAGCGUGGGGAGCAAACAGGAUUAGAUACCCUGGUAGUCC
rnacentral:rRNA from 1 species